rnacentral:lncRNA from 1 species
AGAUAACGCCAAAUGCCCCACUAAUUCUGACCACCUUGCAAAUGUUUGUGGUUUUUCACAGGAGAAUCAGAGAAGACUAUCAGGAUGAAUUCUGAGCAUCUUCAGCUGGAUUUUCAUGGAUGCAAGGAGCUAAUACUUAUUGACGGCCUACUGUUUGCUGGCUCGGGCUACAUCCUUUAUCUAUUUUGUUUCAUUAAAUCCUCAAAGUAUCUUGUGAGAAAGCUUCACAUGUGAGAUAAAUGCACUCAAAGACUCCUCACAAGUAGCUCUUUGGAGCUUCAGAUGUGAAAUGGAUCAUUCCUCAAUCUGUAAUAGACCCUUCUGUGAAGCUCUUCAAUCAAACCUGAGAAUUCAAGGUGAAAUUGAGGGGAGGAUGGGAAACCCCUACAGGGGGAUUUGAGUGGACUAGCGGAGAAAGGAACCG